AAUGUCACCCAACUGAUUUAGAUUAGCAAUGGUUCUUCACUUUGUACCCACUGAGAAUUAAAGGACCACUGAAACAUUUGCCUGAGGUCACACAUCCAACAUGGUGUAGUAGAUACCACUUUUAGGGGAAUUAUGGUAAUAGGAAAUGCUACAGUUCUAACACCAGGAAGCCAACUAGGGGAAAGACUGGAUCUUGUGCUCCUCCCCCUACACUACUUCCUGUUCCCCUUCAACUGUCUUGAAUGUUCUUCUCAGAAAUGUUCAAGCCAGAGAAAUUAGACAUGUGAAGGCCACAAAUGAACAACAUGGCAGAGGCCAGGCGAUAGAGGGCAGGUCUUCAUGUCAGGAUGAGUCUGAUUCAAGUCAUCUCUCUGGCAAAUAAUCCCUGUUUGACCUUGGCCAAGUCCAAAUCAAACCUCUAAGGGCCCCCAGCAACUACCUAAGCAGCCGCUGCUCGUAAAAUCUGAGUCUCCACUUUACUUUGGUCAAGGAACAGAGGAGGGCUAUGAAGCAUCCCUUCAGUGCCAAAGUCAAAAAGAGAAGAAAUGGAAUUUUCUCAGUACAUGGUACCUCCACACCAACUCUAUUUGAAACUGCAUUCAGUUCCAGAUGAAGCCUGGAGUCCAAUGGUCACCAAAGGAUCUCUCCUGUAUUGAAGGUUUCCCCUAUGCUCUGCCCACAGCAAGCUCUGUUGGCAUAUUUUGUCCCUAUCAUUCUGGGGCAAUAAGCAAAAGAACUCAACUCUAUAUAUCCCUUUGAAGAGGAGGGGGAAAUAUAGGAAAGUUUCAUCUGUAAGAGAAGAAAUCAGAUCCCCCAUGACCAAGGAGCAACCCAAGCUGGAGAAGGGCAAGGAAGACCCAAGAUUCCAGGAAAAUAACAGAUGAGCUGUGAGGAUUCAAAAAAAGUUACUUCACUUCUUCUUGGGAGCUCUCCUAGAGUGGAUAGUCUGAGAGGAAGCCUCUGAAAUAAAGAGUUUCUUUGGACAUUGAUCA
rnacentral:lncRNA from 1 species